rnacentral:rRNA from 1 species
GACGUAGGUGGCGAGCGUUAUCCGGAUCUACUGGGCGUAAAGCGCGUGCAGGCGGUUUGGUAAGUCGGGCGUGAAAUCUCCUGGCUCAACUGGGAGGGGUCGUCCGAAACUACUAGACUUGAGGGCAGUAGAGGGAGGUGGAAUUCCGGGAGUAGUGGUGAAAUGCGUAGAUAUCCGGAGGAACACCGGUGGCGAAAGCGGCCUCCUGGGCUGCCCCUGACGCUCAGACGCGAAAGCUAGGGGAGCGAACGGG